AUGAGAAAACUCCUUCCUCUCUUAUUUGUUGACAACGCCGAUUAUAUCUUCACUUUCACCGCCGUACCCUCCUCCGAUUACCACAAUAGCCCUGUCUCUAUCCGUUCAUUCUCUUUCGCAAACGGCGGCCCUACCGUCACUUCGCCUUCUUCUUCUUCUUCGAUCACUCACGAUUGGAGCAUUCUUGAAAGAUGCAGAUUAAAGAUGAUGUUGUUGCGGUUGUUGAUGUGCAGAGAGAUUCCGGAUGAACAUGGAUGA